rnacentral:rRNA from 1 species
AGAGUUUUGAUUCCUGGCUCAGGAUGAACGCUAGCGGCAGGCUUAAUACAUGCAAGGCGAGGGGGCAGCAAUGUCACCGUCGUACGGGUGCGUAACGCGUAUGCAACCUACCUUCAACUGGGGGAUAGCCCGGGGAAACCCGGAUUAAUACCGCAUAAUACAGGGGUGCCACCUGGUACUAUUUGUUAAAGAUUUAUUGGUUGAAGAUGGGCAUGCGUUCGAUUAGCUAGUUGGCAGGGUAACGGCCUACCAAGGCGACGAUCGAUAGGGGAGCUGAGAGGUUGAUCCCCCACACGGGCACUGAGAUACGGGCCCGACUCCUACGGGAGGCAGCAGUAGGGAAUAUUGGGCAAUGGAUGCAAGUCUGACCCAGCCAUGCCGCGUGCCGGAUGAAGGCCCUCAGGGUUGUAAACGGCUUUUAUUCGGGAAGAAGAGCAGGGAUGCGUCCUUGUGUGACGGUACCGAAUAAUAGCAUCGGC